UUCUUCGGGGCGGGGUGCGAUUCCCCACCGGCGGUGAAAGUCCGCGAGCCCUUUCGGCUGAUCCGGUGAAAUUCCGGAACCGACGGUACAGUCCGGAUGAGAGAAGAA
rnacentral:ncRNA from 1 species